UACGUAGGGUGCAAGCGUUGUCCGGAAUCAUUGGGCGUAAAGCGCGUGUAGGCGGUCCGGUAAGUCCGCUGUGAAAGUCGGGGGCUCAACCCUCGGAUGCCGGUGGAGUACUGUCGGGCUUGAGGUACGGAAGAGGCGAGUGGAAUUCCUGGUGUAGCGGUGAAAUGCGCAGAUAUCAGGAGGAACAUCGAUGGCGAAGGCAGCCCCUUGGACCUGUACGUGACGCUCAUGCACGAAAGCGUGGGGAGCGAAACAGG
rnacentral:rRNA from 1 species